rnacentral:rRNA from 1 species
UACGUAGGGUGCAAGCGUUACUCGGAAUUACUGGGCGUAAAGCGUGCGCAGGCGGUUCGUUGUGUCGGCGGUGAAAGCCCCGGGCUUAACCUGGGAAUGGCCGUUGAAACUGGCGAACUGGAGUGUGGCAGAGGGGGGUGGAAUUCCGCGUGUAGCAGUGAAAUGCGUAGAGAUGCGGAGGAACACCGAUGGCGAAGGCAGCCCCUCGGGCGUAACACUGACGCUCAGGCACGAAAGCGUGGGGAGCAAACAGG